rnacentral:lncRNA from 1 species
GUAUACAACAAAUUUUAUUCUUCAUGGACGCGGCCUAUUUAAAGUUUCCAAAAUAAUUUUACUUAUUUAAUGUCCUUGCAGACAUUGCAGGUCAUUGGUUCUAUCCAGGUAUGUUCCCAUGCCUGGAAUGCUGGUAAUAUCCGGAUCGGCAUCUAAGGUCUUAUUCUACUAUAAGAACUGGAAAGACGCCACAUCACCUUUACUGAGUCACCAUCACAUGUUAACCAACAAAUCAAAAUCUAACAGAGACUUACAUUAGGCCCUUAAUGUUCAAUACUUGUAGGUUUUUCCGUUUUACCCAAAAGAUUGUUUAUAUUUCUAGACAAUGAAAAGUCUGCAGAUUCCUCUAAUUUCUCCACAUCAGAUGCUAUAGGAGUCUUCGUUUAAAUAAUGACUCCAAUCUCUUCUUUUCUUGCCUUGUUACUUCUGUCGGAAUUUAAUUAUAAAGGGAAAACCAGGAGUUAUAUGUUUUCUAUGGGUAUAUUUCCAGCUUUCAUACUAUGCUUUUUAUUGUUAAAAAUUGUCUUUUUUAGAUUUCAAAAGCCUUAGAAAAAAUCUUUAGCAAUCCUGUUGAAAACACUCCCUUUCUUUAGAAAACAAUAAUCAACAAAGACGUAACCAAUAAACCUAAAAAUACAGCCUUUUAUUCGAUUUCAUAAAUAAUUACAGUACUGCACUUCAAUUCAGAUGUUCUUAAAGUGUUUCAUUAAAGUGAUUUAUGAUAUGUUUUAUUAUGUUUUACUAAGUGUAUGCAAUACAUGUUAAUUAUUUCUGUAAGAAAGAGUUUUAUCCCUUCACAGCAGGGGACUGAAACUAAAACUAAGCGAUUAAUAUACAUACGUUAUAAACAUGUUCAACUGAAAGAAGAUCUGUUUCAAUUGAAUAAAAUGCAAUAACAAAUACAUGUAGAGAGUCUAGGGUGCAUUUCCCUAAAAUAGACUUCAUUGUUUACAAAUUCGUUUCUUUGUAAUUGACUGCGGGGACGUCCAAUGAAAGGGUGAGGGAGGGAGAGAAACUUACAGUGUUUGGCCUGGUUUGAUUACUUAUCUAAUAUGAAACUCAGGCUGGAUAUUUGUAACUUGGGUUAGUUUUCGUUGACAAAAUAAUAAACAUUUAGAAAUAUGUUAAAUUUUCACGUUUACGACUUCUGGGCGUAUAGUCUAAAUUUGGAUCUAUUCAAAUAAUAAAAUAUGGGUUAGUUAAACCGAUAUUAUGAGCGAAGUGAUAUCCUGUGAUAUGAUAUACAUUGAAACUCAGACCAAGUUAAUUCUUCUGCUAUGUGGAAUCUGAGAGAGAGGUCAUCCCUUCUGUUGUCUCUCAGAUUAGAAAAACUCUUUCUGCGAACCGGAAGACGCUGAUACUGUAUAAAGACAUGACGGCACGCAAUUUAGAGGACAAUGGUUGGAUGGACCGUUUGCCAAAUUACAGACAUAGUUGAACCUACUAUACCAAUUAACUGUGAACUGACUGUGACCGCUCAACACAGACUACCUGCUUUAAACUCUAAUGAAGCCAUGACAAUAACUCUUCUCUAUGCCCAUAUUAUAUACCUAUUUCUGAUGUAAUAAAAGGGUGGUCUUACUGGACUAUUGAUCUAACUGUAUAUAAUAUAUUACCUAGUUUAUUAAUGCUGCUAGAUAAUUAUUAUUAACGUUUAGCGUUGCCGUGCCAACUUGUGCAGUACGUUUCUGCCUGGUUUCAGCUAACACUUGUUUAACGGUCCCAACUGAGAAACAUUAAUUUUAUUGCUUCUUUGAGUUAACUUGUUUAGCUAAAUCAAGCCAUAUCUAUGUCAAGCUUAAUUCUGUAUAGAUGUAACGUUAGCAAACAUGAACUCAACAACAUGGAAUUUACUUUUUUUGUUAACAUUACAGGAUUAAGUACAUGUAGCUGACAAAACAUAACAUUUGAAUGAGUUGUUUUCGCCUUAACUUUUUAUAGAAAUGAUAUGAGAGAUAAUGGAAUGGUUUGAAAUACGCAAGUGCUCAAUGUUUUUGUCAACGAAAGCAAAAUAAGGAGGUAAAUCAAAUGAAUGCUUAAAUGAAAUAUAGUUUGUUUAUUUCACUCUCAAAACGCGCUUUUGAUAUAACCAUGUGGGAAAAAUAUAAAAUAUAUGAAAAAUAUGCUACGUCACAGUUUACUAUUAUCUGACAUACAUGUUAUAUUUACAUUAACAUUUUUUCUCAAUCAAGUAUAUCACAAUUCAGACAGUUUUCAUUGAGGAACCAUUCAGUGUAUAUUACACACUCCAAUUGUCUUUUUGUCAAUGACAGAGGUCUUUUACACCCUGGGUGGACCAUUCCAUUCAUGUCGUCAGGGGAGAUCGAUUUAUCGUCUGCAGUUGUAAUUUGAUUAGGUGAUUUAAAAGAGAUUAGACUUUUAAAAAGUAGCUUAUUUAAAACACGCUGUGCUACGUGAAUGGAUAAUACAUAGAAUUAACAUUUUAUUUUCAUUUAAAUUAAAUAUAUAUAUUUUUUUUUAAUUUGUAAGUAAAAACUCAUCAUGUCUAUGGACUUUAGGAAGACAACGUACCGUCCAACACGGACAGACAACCGUUUCAG